AGGUCAGGUGACCCAGGCUAGACUCUUCCUCCCGGGAUCCCUUCCAUACUGACCCUUAAUCAAUCAACCGUCAGUGACCACCCACUACUGGGGAGACACUGUGGGGCUCCCAGCAUGUGUAUUUCACUGUAUGAGUCUGUUUCCAGAAGAAACACAUGGCUUUUUUGCGACAAUUGCCUUUCCAGCCUGACUGCCAGCCCAAGGUCGCGGGAGACGAUCUGGACCCCACAACCUCCAUUGUGCUGCUCCUUCUCCAAGAGCCAGCUUCCUCUUCUGGAAGGAAAUGUUGUGGUAAGUUCUAUAGGACUGAUGGACUCAACCUGAGCUUCUCCAAGUGUGGUCCCUGGACCAACAGCAACAGCAUCACCUGGAAAUUUGUUAAAAUGCAAAUUUGCAAGCAUCAGCCCAAAUUCUGAGGGUGGGACCCAACAAUUUGUAUUUUAACAAGAACUCCAGGCAAUUCUCACAUCUCUUAAGUUUGAGACCCUCUGGGCUAAACUUUUCGAUUUCUGUGGACCCACAGGAGGGGGAGAUCAUUGUGGAUGGUAGAUCCACAAGGAGAAUUGAUCCACAUUGAGGAUGGAGAUCAUGUGUGCUUAUGGGCCAUCUCCAAAGAAGGCCUUAGAAAUGGACAUUGGAGGGUGAGGAGUUGCUGGGUGCCGGGAGGCACUGAGGUGCCAGAACGGUGAUCAGGAGCAGGAAUGUUGAGGACAAAUCUGCCAAAGCCUGACCUGCUCCCACCAAUGCCCACAAGACUGGGAGAGUGAGCGCUGAAAUCAUG
rnacentral:lncRNA from 1 species